rnacentral:tRNA from 1 species
GGUCCGUUGGUGUAAUGGUCAACAUUACUUGGCUGAUGAUAAAAGUUACCGGUUCGAAUCCGGUACGGGCCA